CCUACGGGUGGCAGCAGUGGGGAAUUUUGCGCAAUGCUCGUAAGAGUGACGCAGCGACGCAGCGUGAAUGACGAAGGCCUUCGGGUCGUAAAGUUCUUUCGACAGGGAAGAAAAUUCCUAUAAGUAACUGUUUAUGUAUUGACGGUACCUGUAUAGACAGCCCCGGCUAACUCCGUGCCAGCAGCCGCGGUAAUACGUAGGGGGCUAGCGUUGUUCGGAUUGACUGGGCGUAAAGAGGACGUAGGCGGUGUUGUAAGUCAUUAGUGAAAUCCUAGAGCUCAACUUUUGUAAGGCUAGGGAUACUAUCAUACUAGAGUAUGAGAAAGGAUUGCAGAAUUCCUGGUGUAGCGGUGAAAUGCGUAGAUAUCAGGAGGAAUACCGAUGGCGAAGGCGGCAAACUGGAUGGAAACUGACGCUGAGGUGCGAAAGCGUGGGUAGCAAACAGGAUUAGAUACCCCAGUAGUC
rnacentral:rRNA from 1 species